CCAAGGCCAGGACACCUGUGCUCUCUGUGAACAGCUUCACCUUCACCGCGGGCAGUGCGUGGGUCGUGGAGAAGUCACCCUGGGUGCCCCAGCUGUGGACAAAGAAUCAGAGAGCCACAAUGUAAACUCACCAGAGCAAGAAUCUGUAUCUAUUUCAUUCAUCACUGGAUCCCCAGACCUAGCACGGCACCUAGCACAGCACCUAGCACGCAGGAACUCUCAACAGGCACCUGCUGAAGAGACAGAGUCCCUGGACUAUGAGCUUCUCCCCACGGGGCACAGAUGAGAAAAUGCUUCUCGGGUUGAUUCUCAGAAAGGCCUGCAUAAAUGUUCUUAAUGGAAACUGAGGUGAUAAUUAUUACGUGAUAUCUCCAAGCAAGUUAGUCCAAGCACUGGCAUUAGAAUCAAAGACUAAGAGCACCUGCGAUGUGAUGCAAGCACAGUCUUGAGGGGUCAGGCUUACCCUCCUGCACCUCUGUUGCCACCAUGAUCAAGGACCAAGUCCUCCUCCAGAAAGCUGCUGUCCCUUCAGUUUGGAACCCAGAGUGAGCUGCAUUAAAUAGAUCAGAGCCUAACGUACAGUACAGUCAAGGUCAGUCAGACCCACAGCUUGAAGUACAGCCAUCCAGCUGAACGUGACGUGGAAUUAUCAACCUCAGACCAAUUUGCACAUUCUUAUUGAAACCAUUUGAAUGAGAAUAAAUGAUGGUGGCUUUACGUC